AAGUUAUUUGUAUGUGAUUGUGUGUGCUUUAUGUGGUCGUGGGGUGGUGCCACAGUGUGUGUGCUGAGGUCACAGAGCAUCUGGAGCUGCUUUACUUGGGAUCUGGGGACUGAAUGGAGAUCAACAGGCUUGAAGGGUGGCUGUUUUAUCACCACGCUCCUGCCCUGAGCCAUCUCACUGGCUUUGUUUUAAAUUAAAUUUUAAAACAGAUUUGUGUGUGUGGACGUGUGAGAGCUUUGCCUGCACGUAUGUAUGUGCAUUUUGUGUGUGUGUGUGUGUGUGUGUGCGUGCGUGUGUAUGUGUGUAUGUGUGUGCGCGCGGGUGUGUGUAUUGCUCCUGGAACUCACAGAGCACUGGAUCGCCUACAACUGGAGUUACGGUGUUCGUGAGCUAACCCCAUUGGACUGUUGUUGAAUAGCAACAGUGCUCUGAACCACGGAGUCAUCCACCCAGCCCCCGGCCUGGUUGUUUUUUUGAGUCAGGCUUUCAUGUGACCCAGGAUGGGCCUUCAACUUUUGAUCCUUUGGCCUUUGUGUCUCGAGGGUUGGGAUUCUAUUUUUUAUUAAUUAUUAAUUAACUUCUGUGCCUUCGUGCUCAUACGUGCGUGCAGGCCCCAUGGUGCUUGGGUGGACUUAGAGAACAACCUCCAGGAAGCUCUCCCUUCCCACUGUGUAGUUCUGAGGAUUGACCCAGGUUGUCAGGCUUAGUGACACGAGCCUCUGCUGAGCCACUUUGCUAGUGACGCUGCUAGGAUUUCAAGACUGUGCCACCACGCCCGGCUCCCCUGGAAGACACUGAGAGGAGGACUGGUGGGAGGGAUGCUGUGGCCGGCAGAGGCCAAGAGCAAAGGGCCAGGCGUCCGUCCACUUGGGAAUGCUGCAGUGUGGCUGAGCAGUGAGCAGCCUUGAAUGCAAAUGAGUCCUGUGUAUAUCCUCCAAACAUCACGUGUCCUCCAUGUGCCUUGCCUCAGCCCGUGCAUCCAAUCAGCCCGAGUCCUUGGAAGCGGAAACAAACUUCAGCUCACCACUAAAGUUUUUUGGUGCGUUUCUCUCUCUAUGGCGUUCUGACAAAUGCAGCUCGACUAUGCAAUGUAAGGCAGACAUCUGUGUGGUUAGCAAAAAGUCCUUCGUCAUGUGUCCUUUUCACGUGCUUGCUUUAGCAGAACAUCCUCUCUCCUGUGUCUGCUUCAGCGAAAUGUUCCUUCACGUGUCUGCCACUUCAAAAACAGCAUCCAACUGACUUUCCGAAGAAUCCUUAAGUUUCCACUUCAAGGCCCUGUCUCAAAAAAGGAAAAAGGGAAGUCUAUAUUAAACGCCUACUGCUUCAUCA